CUGGAGUUCUUCCAUGACUCAUUGCAGGGUGUGUCGCCACAGCACGUGUGGUUCAAGGGAGCAGAAUGAGUCAGAUGUGGGAAAACAAGAUCAGUACAAGGGAGUAAUGUCUAACACCAGUUGCAAAAGAUAAGACUACUGAAGCUGAGAGAUGAUUCAAGCUCAUCUCACUUCCCACAACUUCUUUGUACCGUCAGUAGGGUUAGAAAUUAUGGAUUUUAACACAUAACUUGAAAAUCAUUUUUAUCUUUAAACAGACGUCUACGUCAGUUCUAGUUUAAAAAACAAAGCAGUAUACGGGUCAUUGGUUCAAGCUGAUGACUGUUUAACAAGCUCCAACACAGUCUCAUUCAAUUUUUCAGUAACAUGUUAUUGGAGACAGAAAGCAAAUCAAAAUUUACAGCACAAAAGCUCAGACUGACAUAACAAUGAGAGAGUGUAGAAAGAAUUGACAUGAAUUAUAAAGCACAUUGAACUUGUUAAUAAGACCUGCUUAUAUUUCAACACAAGAUGAACCUAGAGUUUGCCUCAUGAAAAGUGUAGAAGAUGCUAACAUUACACUUUUUAAACCAAUUCUUUACUCCUUUUCUAUAAUAAAAUUAAGUGAGGCACUCUCUCAUUUGACUUUGCAGCAGGUAGUUCUUACUAGAGUGAGCAAAGUAUGUUUUCGUGCCCAAUUUAUUUCGAACUUGGCAAUAUAACUUGCUUUGGCCAAAGGAAUGUGUACAGAUGGGACAGUAUAGUACUUCCAAGCCAAGAUUUUAAGAAGCACAUUGUCUUCAUCUAUUUGUGUUGCUCUAAAGGAAUUCCUAAAACUGAGUAAUUGAUAAAGAGUAAGAAGUUUAUUUGGCUCAUGGUUCUGCAGGCUGUACAAGAAGAAUGGCACUAGUAUCUGCUUUUGCUGAGGGCUUCAGGAUGCUUCUACUCAUGGUAAAAGAUGAAGCAAAGCCCACAUGGCAGAGAUUACAUGGCGAAAGAGGAAGCAAAAUAGUGAGAGGGGAGAUGCCCAGCUUUUUCUAAAAAACAGAUCUCAUGGAAACAACAGACUGAAAACACACUUAUUACUGUGAGUACAGCACCAAGCCAUUCAUGAGGGAUCUGCCUCCAUGACUCAAACACCUCCCAUUAAGCCUCACCUCCACCACUAGGAAUCAAAUUUCAACAUAAUGUUUGAGGGAUGAACAUUCUAACUACAGCACAUACUGUAUUUACAAUUGCUCCAUUUUUACUCAUACCACUCUACACAAGGAUGGCAUGUCCAAGCAGGGGAGGAGACACAUGGAGCAUACCUGAAGCAAAGUCUCUCCAGUUGACCAACAGAUCAAGGAGAAAGCAAAAUGAAUGAUGUUGCUCUAAGUCACUGAAAUAUUGAGUAGCUUAUUUAACAGUAAAAACAGACUAAUGCACAGAGAUUACCUAGAAAUGUGCAAGGCUGGGAAACAAAUUCUGAUUUAGGGACACAAAGUAUUUCUUCUUAGUUCUCAAUAGUUAUUUGGUGAAGAGGAUGGUAUAUUCUUUACACUAUAUUUUUUUCAGCCAUCCCUGCAAGGAAUGCUGCAGGCAGAGACUUCAGAUUAAAACAAAAACAGAAUUAGCGGGAGGUUUGAAUUGGUGAGAGGAACUGAUGUGUAGUUCAGGAAAAUCUAAGAAAUGUAGGCACCAGGAACACAAGACUUUCUUUAGAUAAGUGCGCCCCAUGAAUACUUUGAUAGUAGAGUGUGCUAGGAAUUGUAUUUUGUCGUAUACUAUAUCUGUCUAUAACAGAAGAAAAUCAUAAGACAGAAGUAAAAUACCACCUGAGUAGGGGCAAAGCUGAUUAAAUCUAGUUAAAGAUGAAGAUUUAGACUGGGGGAAUUUAAUUUGCAUUUUAUCUACAAAAAGACCACCAUACAAAUGAAGUGAGAUUGAGAUCAAGAAAAAUUUAUGGGCCCUUCUGCUGGUAAACACUACUUCUAGACAGUUGUUUUCUUAACUGAUGAUCAGUGAAGAGAAAAAGCAAUACAAACAUCAUAGAACUCACCCGUGAAAAGUGCUCUGGGGCAUGAGGAAAGAUAUUGGAAAAGCACUUCAUACACUCAAAGGGAAAAGCAUCUCUUAACGUAUUCUACUAUUAAAUACAAAACCAUCUCCAGAAAACCAUUUGAUAAACUCAAUAUAAAAAAUUAUAAGCAAGGAGGGGGAUUAAUGAAAGAUAUAACACCACAGAACUGGGUAAAAGGGUAAUGAUAUGAGAUGUGUGUGUGUCAUAGUAAAAUACAAAUUUGGAAAAUUAAUGAUAUACUUUUUUCAAAGCAUAUACCACAACUUUAAGUGCUAUUUAUUGUUUAAUGGAGGCAAUGUCUCACUAUGUUGCCCAGGCUGUCCUCAAAAUCCUGGGCUCAAACAAUCCUCCUGCCUCCGAGUAGCUGGGACUACAGACCCACACCAAUGCACCCAGUUUUAAGUGUUAAUAUUGCUGAAUAUUUUAGUGGUUUCCAUGUUUUGAAAUUAUAAGUAAGGUUUUAACUUCUUGAUAAAUAACAUGUUCCUAUUUUCAUUAUUUCCUUAUGUUAUGUUCCAGAAAUUAGGUAUUUUGGCCACAGAUUCUUAAAUUUAGAGAUACUAUUUGACUUCUAAAUGUUUAUUCAUGUCUCUUAUGGUAUACUGCCUGCCUCUAAAUAUCAGCAAAUUGCUCUCUUAAAUAGUUUUAUUAUUUUAUACUCUAUUAACAAUACAAUUUAUUGGGCUUUAACCAUAUUGAGUAUUUUAAUUGUUUUAUUUAGGAAUUGAUAGAAUUAUAGUCUCUGGCAACCAUUUCUAGAAGUACUGGGGAAGAUAUACUUUCUUAUACUCUGAAGCUAGGAGGCCACAGUGACCAAGGACCCUAACUGGGGCAUAAUAAAACUAACACAGAGAAAAGAAGAGACAGGUUUGGAGAAAAUCCAAAUUCUGAUGACCUCAUCUAAAUUCUAGCAUUUUAUAUUACAUGUCAGUAAAUGCCUUUUUUUGUUGUUGUUAAAGCAGUUUGAGUUGGAUUUUUGCAACUUACAAAAGAAUGAUGUAUCUUUACUAACACAUAGGUAAAUGGUUCUUUUCAUUUCUUUAUCAGACAUGAAGUAUAUUUUAAACAUUUUUAAUCCUACUUGCAAUUUGUGAUAACAUUUUCAGCUGUGCUACAUAUACUCAAGUGUAUAUUAGCAAUCUAAGCAUUUCUGAGUUUUUGAUAUGAAAUCGACAUAGAAAUCCUUGCAAGCAACCUGAAGGUGCCUUCUAUUUUCAAUGUUAGAAACACAAAUCUGAUACCCAUGUUUUGGGAUUGUUUUGGUGUUUUGUUGUUUUGCUCUUGUAAACUGUGCAUGCAAUGCCUGGCUCUCUAAUAAUGAAGAAUAUGUGGAUUUUAUUCUUAUUUCUUUUUUUCACAUGCAGAAAAAUAAAUUAUAAAUUUAACAGUAAAAAAAUAAAUGUUCUGCUUCCUAAAACAGCAAAUUUAUUUUGUCAUUUCCAUUGAUAUAUUUGUAAACAAUUCUAUCAUUUAUUUUAAAAAAAUAAUGUAUUCCACUUGAAAUAGGAUUUUUUUUGUUAAAAAGACCAAAUAACUUUAAGAAAGUCUCAGAUACA
rnacentral:lncRNA from 10 species